UACGAAGGGGGCUAGCGUUGCUCGGAAUCACUGGGCGUAAAGGGUGCGUUAGGCGGGUCUUUAAGUCAGGGGUGAAAUCCUGGAGCUCAAACUCCCAGGAACUCGGCCCUUUGAUACUGAGGAUCUUGAGUUCGGGAGAGGUGAGUGGAACUGCGAGUGUAGAGGUGAAAUUCGUAGAUAUUCGCAAGAACACCAGUGGCGAAGGCGCUCACUGGCCCGAUACGUGACCGCUGAGGCAC
rnacentral:rRNA from 1 species